AUUUUGGCAGUGACGAAGAGUAGUAGCUAUUUUAUAUCACUUAAGAGAGCUGGUGGGUGGUGAAAACCAGUGUGUAAGAAUAGUGAAUGGACUUCUGAGCCCCAAACCGAACCCUAUAAGUGUGUGUUCAAAAAGGAGGAUAAAAAGGACCCGUCGGCUAAAGACGCUGACGUCCUGUCAGCAACGCCGACACUAGCACAUCCUGUGCGUCGAAAGUUCGAGGCGGCGCAGUUUCGAGCGGCGGAAUGUAUGCAGUAAGAUACAUGAGCAGCGCAGAAACAAGCCAACGAAGAAAUUCGAAGUGUCAUUUUUACCGGACUUUUUAAACAUCCCCUUCAAUAGGUUGUAGGCUUUGGCGUAAAGGUCUUGACGUUACGAAGACUAGGCAUAAGCAGAGCGUGUAAGCUUGUUGCUGUCAAAGUGAGCUGUUUUCAGCUAAUAAAGGUGGUACCACGGGUUCCUCGUCCUUUGG
rnacentral:ncRNA from 1 species